rnacentral:rRNA from 1 species
UACAGAGGUCUCAAGCGUUGUUCGGAUUCAUUGGGCGUAAAGGGUGUGUAGGUGGCGCGCUAAGUCGGGUGUGAAAUUUCGGAGCUUAACUCCGAAACUGCAUUUGAUACUGGCGUGCUUGAGGACUGGAGAGGAGACUGGAAUUCAUGGUGUAGCAGUGAAAUGCGUAGGAGUACAUGAGGAAGACCAGUGGCGAAGGCGGGUCUCUGGACAGUUCCUGACACUGAGACACGAAGGCCAGGGGAGCAAACGGG